GAUAUGAGAUAUCUCCCACUUCCAACGUCCUUUACUUAUAGGUGGUAAUUACUAAUUAAUGAGAUAACUUUCAUCUUCUUGAUAUUACAUCCAUUUUUACUUCAUCCAACUAAAGCCUACAUUAUUUCUUAACCUAGUCGCUAUCUUAAUCCUAGCUACCACCUUAGUAACUUUACUUCAUUCUUUUGUUGCCCUUUGAUCAUUAGCAAUUUACUUAAGGUAAUACUUACUUACUUUAAUAAUUGAAUCAUAAAACCUUCCAUUACAAGUUUACUCAUGAAAUCUCAUUUUAAUUAUCAUUUUACUUAUUCUACAAAUUACUUCCAAAAUAAACCUAUUUAGGAGAAUUUGAACAUAGAGAAAGACUAAGCACAUGAGUUUUACUUAUUAGGGUCACAUGAUUAACUGUAUUCCGAACCACUAAAACAUCAAGAAAUACUACAAUGCUUACUUCCAGUAAUAAUACUCCUUCAUCAAUUGAUAACAAUAGUGUGCAACCUUGCACUCUCAAAAGACCGCUCAAAAUUCAAUAAAUUCCAUCCAACACCAGAAAUAACAGACUUCACUCCAACUAAUCUAAAUUCAUAGAAUUCCUGUAAUCAUAGACUUCUUCUAUCGAAACACACACACACAACUCUCAAUAAACA
rnacentral:lncRNA from 1 species